rnacentral:rRNA from 1 species
CCUACGGGUGGCAGCAGUGAGGAAUAUUGGUCAAUGGGCGGGAGCCUGAACCAGCCAAGUCGCGUGAGGGAAGAAGGUACUGAGUAUUGUAAACCUCUUUUGCCAGGGGACAAAGGCGGCCACGGGUAACAGUAAGAAGAUACAUGGCGAAAAAGCAUCGGCUAACUACGUGCCAGCAGCCGCGGUAAUACGGAGGAUGCGAGCGUUAUCCGGAUUUAUUGGGUUUAAAGGGUGCGCAGGCGGCGUGUCAAGUCAGCGGUAACAUGUCGGGGCUCAACCCCGGCCGGCCGUUGAAACUGGCGUGGUCGAGUUGGAGAGAAGUAUUCGGAAUUCGUGUUGUAGCGGUGAAAUGCAUAGAUAUCACGAAGAACCCCGAUUGCGAA